GCUGGGCUGUUACCCGGAGCAGCACUUCACAGAGGCCGCCCCGCGCCGCCUGAUGCUGCAGUUCCGCCGCCGCCUGCAGCGCAUCUCCCGGCGCAUCCGGCAGCGCAACGCCGCGCUGCCGCUGCCCUACCCCUACCUCGACCCCAGCAACGUCGAGAACAGCAUCUCCACGUGAAGCGACCCCAAAUCCCGAUCGGGGCGACCCCAAAAACCCCCCAAACCUCUGCACCCUGUUCUGCUGCCCCUUAGGAUGUCCUCAAAGCCCCCAGGUGACCCCAAAAUCCUCAUCUCCUCCUUCUUGGGGUGACCCCAAACCUCUCAACCCCAUAUUUCUUAGGGUGACCCCAAUCCCACCCCAUAUUUCUUGGGGUGACCCCAAACCCCAUUGCUGUCCCCACUGAGCUGUGCAAUAAAGGAGGUGCCAACCCCAAA